GAUGAACGCUGGCGGCGUGCCUAAUACAUGCAAGUCGAGCGAACGGACGAGAAGCUUGCUUCUCUGAUGUUAGCGGCGGACGGGUGAGUAACACGUGGAUAACCUACCUAUAAGACUGGGAUAACUUCGGGAAACCGGAGCUAAUACCGGAUAAUAUUUUGAACCGCAUGGUUCAAAAGUAAAAGACGGUCUUGCUGUCACUUAUAGAUGGAUCCGCGCUGCAUUAGCUAGUUGGUAAGGUAACGGCUUACCAAGGCAACGAUGCAUAGCCGACCUGAGAGGGGGAUCGGCCACACUGGAACUGAGACACGGUCCAGACUCCUACGGGAGGCAGCAGUAGGGAAUCUUCCGCAAUGGGCGAAAGCCUGACGGAGCAACGCCGCGUGAGUGAUGAAGGUCUUCGGAUCGUAAAACUCUGUUAUUAGGGAAGAACAUAUGUGUAAGUAACUGUGCACAUCGUGACGGUACCUAAUCAGAAAGCCACGGCUAACUACGUG
rnacentral:rRNA from 1 species